rnacentral:tRNA from 1 species
GUCGGGAUAGCUCAGCUGGUAGAGCAGAGGACUGAAAAUCCUCGUGUCAA